ACGCUCGACACCUACGGGGAGGUAGCAGUUGGGAAUAUUGGACAAUGGAGGAAACUCUGAUCCAGUGACGCCGCGUGAAGGAAGAAGGUCUUCGGAUUGUAAACUUAUUUUGUCAGGGAAGAAAAAUGACUGUACCUGAAGAAAAAGCACCGGCUAACUACGUGCCAGCAGCCGCGGUAAUCUGAGCGGGCUGGCAAGGC
rnacentral:rRNA from 1 species